rnacentral:rRNA from 1 species
UGGGGAAUAUUGGGCAAUGGACGCAAGUCUGACCCAGCAACGCCGCGUGAAGGAAGAAGGCUUUCGGGUUGUAAACUUCUUUUAAGAGGGAAGAGUAGAAGACGGUACCUCUUGAAUAAGCCACGGCUAACUACGUGCCAGCAGCCGCGGUAAUACGUAGGUGGCAAGCGUUGUCCGGAUUUACUGGGUGUAAAGGGCGUGCAGCCGGGUCUGCAAGUCAGAUGUGAAAUCCGUGGGCUUAACCCACGAACUGCAUUUGAAACUGUAGAUCUUGAGUAUCGGAGAGGUAAUCGGAAUUCCUAGUGUAGCGGUGAAAUGCGUAGAUAUUAG